UACGUAGGGUGCAAGCGUUGUCCGGAAUUACUGGGCGUAAAGAGCUCGUAGGCGGUUUGUCGCGUCUGCCGUGAAAGUCCGGGGCUCAACUCCGGAUCUGCGGUGGGUACGGGCAGACUAGAGUGAUGUAGGGGAGACUGGAACUCCUGGUGUAGCGGUGAAAUGCGCAGAUAUCAGGAGGAACACCGAUGGCGAAGGCAGGUCUCUGGGCAUUAACUGACGCUGAGGAGCGAAAGCAUGGGGAGCGAACAGG
rnacentral:rRNA from 1 species